ensembl:lncRNA
UUUGUAUUGUGUUGUUUUAUAAAGGAAUAUGCUGGCAAGUAAUGUAUACCCUAAUGUAAUUACAAGUAAUUAGAGAGUAUAAAAUUGGGAAUAAAUGACUACCAUUAUAAUCAUAAUGGAUUAUGAAUAAUAUAUCAAUCGGAGUGCAUCAUAUUUACAAAAUAACAACCGUUAUCAAACCAUGAAUUCAUAAUACAAAUUCCUUUAAACAAUGUCAAUUGCAACACUCUCAGAGCCUAAUAUCAGGAGAAAGUUCAAAAUGUCUGUGGAUGGCCCUUGUAUUGGCAGUAAGGUAAUGGUGCCUCCCUCUUUGGGAGGCAGCAUUACCACUCAUCAGUCAAAUGCAUUGUAAAUUACAGGGCCCGGGUAAUAAAACCAGAUUUGUACAUCACCAGGACUGGAGACUGUCUGUCUUGUAAAUUUAAUUAAACAGCAGGUGCAAAAUCAGGUCAUGUGGCUUUGAUGUGUCCCAUGUGAGAAUGACAAGCAGACAAAGAUUCUAAUAUGGGAAGCAUUUACAUAUUUUUGCAUGUGCACGCGUGUACAAGGGGAGCUGCCGUCACCGUGUAGAGUAUUCCAAUUCGCCCAAAUUAAGAGAGAUUCAAAUUAGCUGUCACCUUCAAUUUCAAUAGCUCGUCGCCAAAAUAAACGGUUAAGCUCUUCAAAAGCAAUCCCUGCUCGUCAAAUGCAGAGUAAACACACAUAUUACCAACAGCUUGUCGAGACGGGAAGAUUUGCACUAAUCAGGUCUUAUAGCAAAUAAAAUAAAAUGUUAUUGGUCGCAUACACAUAUUUAGCAGGUGUAGCAAAAUGCUUGUGGAGCCAUGAACAGGACGACCAUGUCAAUCAGCGCCAUCUUGUCAAGUCUGUGCACGACAACACAGAAAACCUACCUAAAGAAAACACUCAUCAACCAGUGCCUACAAUACAGUAGAAUCACAUUUGAUUUUCCAACCUACUAGUCAGCUCUUAAUAGACUUGAUCCAGAGUGAUGCACAUCCUCUUAUGGAUGAGUGUGACCUGUGACACCGUUCUCUCGCCAUCUCCGUGGCAGAAGACAGACAUCGAUUGAAGUUGACUAGCGAAAUGUCAGCUGCCUGACCUGAUGGCAACACCUUUGCUUGUUUUUGGGAAGAAGUGGUUGAUAAUUACCACCUAGAAUGUAGCCAUCUGUCCCGCUCUUUCAUGACCUGUUAAACUCGCUUUUCAAAAAGUUUACUGGUGACAGAGGGCACGUGACGGAAAAGAGUGUGCACUCAAGCCAGAGCUAAGGAGCUCAUAGAACCAUUACUGUACUGUAGAUACACCAAACAGCUCUAAUAAACUUGAAGUUAUUAUGGGAAAACAAGGAAAGCAGAAGAGGGAAGAAAAGAUGUCAGAAAAGAUUAAAUAUGAAUUUGAAGUAAUAUGCUUACGGGAAUAAGAACCUAAUUCUGUUGAACAGAACAAAUAACUCAACCAAAGCCAACAACCUAGUGUCACCAUGAGUUAAUCAUCGGUUGCUUUCAAUUUCUCCCACACAUUGCCAAUAGUUUGACAUCUACUCUCAUUCCAGAGAAAGUCAGUGAUUUUGCAACUUACAUAAAACCGACUAUCAGCAUUGUCAAUUACAUAUGGGUUUUUCCCCUAGUCUUCAGAGACACCUGUGUUUUCACAGUAAGGAAUCUGCUAUCAACAACAUGCUUGCCCGAUGUCUAUUUAUCUGUCUGUCAGUUUGACAGAGUCUUUGGGAAAUCCUCACUUGUCAGAACUAUUUCUCUCAUGUUUCACUGAGUUUUUAAUGAGAAGCACCAGGCAAAAUCCACAAGCAACGUGAGAGCAGAAGGGGGGGGACAGGUGGAUAGCUGGGAGCUUCGGUAUAACUGAACACCAUGUGGUAUACAUCUCUUUUGAUUACUGCCACAUCCAAUCACACUAAUCAAACACGCAUCAAAGAGCAGAAGUUAUAGACCGAUGACUGAAUGACACAAUGUAAAGACUGGUGCAGUGUGAAAUCUGCCAACACUAUCAUUGGUGGUUUCAAAACAAUGCACAGUGUCCACCCACUCUGCCAAGACGCACUUUGGUGAUGAAAUUUCACUUCCUUAUGUUAUCAAAUACAUUUUACCAAGACAAAUAUGAUUAUUCAUGUCUGAAUCAUUGUGGGGUCUUUCUCUAACAUAUUAGUAUUAUAUCCAAAAAGUUGGAUUUCGUAAUCUAAUACAUACGAUAAUAAGCACCAAGAUCUGUUGACAUCGUGGUACAGGUUUCUCAUAACUUCUAAAGAUGUUACAUUUUGAGGUCAUCGUCUUCCAAGUAGUUAACAGGUCGCAAAAAGCAAAUGAGAAUGAAUUAAAUGUAAAAGACUGAUAAUAAAAAGCUUGGAAUGCUCAGCGUUCAUUUUAUAGAGAUUCAAUCAUUUCUUACAAACAAGCAUAAAAGAACAGGAAUUUCCAAUUCAUAUGAAAAGUGUGUACUAAAAUAUGAAAAUACGUCAUGUCUCAAAAUCGAUAUCCAUCUUAGCUCUAUAUUGUUUUAUGUCCUGCGGAUUGGAGAAGAAAGAUGACCAGUUCAACAGGGAAGUGAGCCUGUCAGGUAGCCAAUAGCCUUAAAUCUGCCACAGAAUCCAGCCUAGCUGACACAAUGCAAUUUUCCACUUUUUUUUACCACUUUUUUCCCCCUCCGGCCUCCAUUGAUUUAGUCACCCGAAUUCUGACCAUCCCACAAGGGUAAAGACUCCAAUAACUCGAACGGGUUAUGAUAGACACGAGGUUUGGACCAUUGGAAUACUUAGAGGAUUAUCUACAGAAUUAACAUACUAUUUAAAAAACACUGCUCGAAAGAUACAUUUUUGAUUGGAACUUGUGUGAAUUCUGAUUUUUUUCCAGUGCCUGAAUAUCACGACUCAGGAUAAGGCCCAUAUGCAGACAGUUCGAAGCACAGUUAUUUAUUGACAAAUCAGGGGACAGACAAAAGACAGGUCAAGAGCAGGCAGGAGGUCAGUAAUCCAGGGCAGAGUCAGUAAGGUACAGAACGGCAGGCAGGCUCGGGGUUAGGGCAGGCAGAGGUCAGUAAUCCAGGGCAGAGUCAGUAAGGUACAGAACGGCAGGCAGGUUCGGGGUUAGGGCAGGCAGAGGUCAGUAAUCCAGGGCAGAGUCAGUAAGGUACAGAACGGCAGGCAGGUUCGGGGUUAGGGCAGGCAGAGGUCAGUAAUCCAGGGCAGAGUCAGUAAGGUACAGAACGGCAGGCAGGUUCGGGGUUAGGGCAGGCAGAGAUCAGUAAUCCAGGGCAGAGUCAGUAAGGUAAAGAACGGCAGGCAGGCUCGGGGUUAGGGCAGGCAGAGGUCAGUAAUCCAGGGCAGAGUCAGUAAGGUAAAGAACGGCAGGCAGGCUCGGGGUUAGGGCAGGCAGAGGUCAGUAAUCCAGGGCAGAGUCAGUAAGGUACAGAAGGGCAGGCAGAGGUCAGUAAUCCAGGGCAGAGUCAGUAAGGUACAGAACGGCAGGCAGAGGUCAGUAAUCCAGGGCAGAGUCAGUAAGGUAAAGAACGGCAGGCAGGCUCGGGGUUAGGGCAGGCAGAGGUCAGUAAUCCAGGGCAGAGUCAGUAAGGUACAGAACGGCAGAAAAAAACCCGACGGUAAGCUUGACGAGACAAGACGAACUGGCAACAGACAAGCAGAAAACACAGGUAUGAAUGCACAGGGGAUAAUGGGGAAAAUGGGCGACACCUGGAGGGGGUGGAGACAAGCACAAGCCAAGUGAAACAGAUCAGGGUGUGACACUAAGGCUAUGCAGCAGUUUGAUAAUGUAGAAUGUGUUUUUUAAAUUUAUUUUACUCUUAAGAUCAAGCCCACAUAGAUCCAUAACCAGGUGUGGUGUUUAGUGGUGUUUCGGGAAGGUGGGAGCUAGAUACAGUAUAUCCAACAUGCUUUUUUGUGACUAUGAACAUUAAGGUGUAAUUGAGCUUUGCAAUGUAACUCGACCCCUUUAAAGAAAAAUACGCAAAUGCUGAGAACUAAAGCUAAACCAGUCAAAAUCCCUCAACUGUAGUUACAUCAUAUGCCUUAUCACACAUGCAGUAGUUACAACAUCUGCCUUAUCCCACAUGCCUUCUCUUGUCCUACAUUCUUGUCCUACAUAUAAUCAAUCUUCCCUUGAAACGAUCUAAGUCAUAAAAUAUGAGUGUUUGCUGAUUGACUCUCCGAUACACAUUUCAAACAUAUUUGUGCAUCUGCAUUCGCCUGCAUUCACUACCAACACAUUCCUCGAGCCUGCUCAGGUCUGAGGGUGUCAGAACAGAUACAGAGAAACAGCUAUUUUUUCACCUGCAGCACAGAACAACAUCUCCACGGAGGCCAGCAGCAGCAGAUAUGUCAUAGCGAGAGAGACAGAGCAGUUGAGAAGGUGAAUGACUGCAGGCGGUCCUCAGAGGGAGAGGUGGAGGGUGGAGCCCCAUGGGUUGGAACAACCCCAUGGAGAGUAGACAUAUCAGCACUAUUGAGUUGUUACACAACAUCUACUGUAGGUCAUGAAUGCACUACCUCUGGUAUUUUAACAUGAACUGGAAAGUUUAGAGGCUCGGUAUGAGGUUGAUAUGAGGUGAAUUUGGUGCAACACAAAAGCAAGAACUUUACAAUUUAGUCAUUUAGCAGAAACUCUUAUCCAGAGUGACUUACAGGAGCAAUUAGUCUUAAGUUCCUUGCUCAAGGGCACAUCGAGAGAGCCUUGUUGGCUCGGGGAUUCAAACCAGUAACCUUUCAAUUAAUGGCCCAAUACUCUAACCACUACCUUCCCCCCCAAUCAAUCCAAUCAGUACUUGGACUGGUAACU